rnacentral:lncRNA from 1 species
UUCAAACUAGCCCUGCAUAUAUGAGAACAUGGAAUGCAAUUGAAAUUUCCUACUUCCCAACUGAAGAAAAGGGCAAUUGUUUUUCAAGAAGGUUGAAAAUUUUAGUUAACUUAUUUGGCAACUUUUUGGGUGCUAGAUUUCACUCUCUCUUUCUCUCUCUCUUGUGUGUGUGUGUGUCUCUUCUUAUUUCAGUUUUCUUGUUUUCAUUAUCUUCUUUCAUUUGUUAUGGCAGAUUGCUUUAUCAGUUCUGGAGUUAACUCAGGCCUCAGCUUCUAGUGGCAGAUUGCUUCUAGCAUUCUACUAUUUUGGUACUCCACUUCAUCGUGUAUCUGGAUUGUACUCAGCCUGAAUAUUAGCUUAUAUCUGUGAGCGGUCUCACGGAAUAUAUUGGCUAGGUUCAUCUGGCUUAGUGCUGAAGUGUUAAUGAGUAGCACAGGCAGUAUUGUGUUUGAAGGUGAUCAAGGCAAGUCAUUGCAAUCACUGUUGUUGGGUUAUAAGACUUGUCAAUCUGAGAUAUAAAAGUCGACUUAUUGGAUCUGGUGCAUUUCAGGAAUUUAUUUCGUUGAAGUUAUUCUUAGGGAAGUUCUUCCCAUGAGGUAGCUGGAGCUAUAAAAUAUCUUGUGGUUCACAAGCAAAAUGCUAUAUAAUUGGAAGAAGCCUCACAUUAUUUUCUCUACAGUGCUUGAGGUUGUUUAUGUUGCAAUAUAACUAGCAAUUAUGGAACAACUAUCAGAGAAAAAGUUCCC